rnacentral:rRNA from 1 species
UACGUAGGGGGCAAGCGUUGUCCGGAUUUAUUGGGCGUAAGGAGCGUGUAGGCGGCCAGGUAGGUCGGUUGUGAAAACUGGAGGCUCAACCUCCAGACGUCGACCGAAACCAUCUGGCUAGAGUCCGGAAGAGGAGAGUGGAAUUCCUGGUGUAGCGGUGAAAUGCGCAGAUAUCAGGAAGAACACCCGUGGCGAAAGCGGCUCUCUGGGACGGUACUGACGCUGAGACGCGAAAGCGUGGGGAGCGAACAGG